ensembl:lncRNA
CUCGGUGUAUCCAGUCAUACACAGACUAAAAAAAAAGCCUUUUCUACAAUGAUUUGCACGUCAACUUUCACCCGUCAGUGCUUUUUGGAAAAUGGGAUUCUUCCCUGUGGAAAAAAAUAAACAGAAAAUACGAGGGUUUGCUGCACGCAGAACACGCCCCAACCUCCCAGGCGGCCCGGGCACCCUUCCCAUCCCUGUGGAGCCGCACCCCGUGCAGGGCAGGGAGACUUGUCCCAUUAAAAUGACUCUUGAAGUAGUGACUCUAAUAAUAAUAAUCUGUGAUUCCUUCCCGUUCUGUUGCAGGGCGUGCAGCAGUGUCCCCCUGCCAGCCUCUGGGCACCCUCAGGUCCCCGCUGUAAGAGGUGAAAUGUUGCCUGGACAGCCCUGAAGUUGGAGGUCCAAGGCAUCCAGCUUCGUUUGUCGCAGAGAAAACACUGCAGGCAAAAAGGAGGGUAAGAAUGAGGGCAGCGAGGCGGCAAGAGCUGGCAAAGCAAAUGCUGGCAGUGCAGGGCCAGCGGGCUGUGAACACUGGUCGCCUUCCAGGGGAAUUAUCAAGUGGUGCUGCAUGCCAUGGAAGUGUGCAGCAAUGGGCAGAAGGACUGUGCUGUUCUUGACUCCAAAAGUUUGACUCCACUUGUGGUACAAGAAAACAUUCCUGGAGUUGAGUUUGGGGCAUUAAAACAGGCGUGGGGGGAAGAGUUACUUUCUUUGUCCACCUCCCUUUUGCAGCCACUUCCCUGUGCAAUCUUGGGAAAAUCUUGUCUGCCUCGGUUUCGCCCUCUAUAAAAUGGGAAUAAGUCAUGACAGACCCCUCCUUUUAGAUGCCUGGAUCAAAGGUACUAUAUAAGUACAAAGUGCUCCUUCUAUAGGGUAUUAUUGCCAAAUUCGCUAUAAGCAAUUCCAUUGGGUACUUGAUAACAACAGUAGAAUCAGUCAAACGCCCUUGAUGCAUUCAUCGCAUGGUCCCAGAUACCUUUCAGAGCCUCUUUGUGUGCCAUCCUACCCCCUGAGGUCCACGAGGAUGGGGCUUUUGGAGCCUGGAUUCUGCAGGAGCAGGAGGGGUAUGGUAAGCAUCUUCUGGCCCCUGAACCGUGGACCGCUUUUCUUUUUGACCUGGUGAGGACUACUGGAACUAGCCCUUUCACAAACAGGUUUUGAACAUGCAACUUUAUAUAUAUUUAUAUAUAUGAAAUUGUAACACCUAUAGUACAUAGUGCUAGACUCUUGUUGAAUUUUCACUGUUUUAGUCUUGCGUGGUUCAUUGUCAUUUUAAUCUGCAUUUGUUUCACUGCGGAGUGCUUAGGCUGCUUUCAGAUCUAGGCACAUUGCUGAUAGAAAUUUGGUUCAUUUCAGCUUUGAAAUUUGUAGUUGUUAGGGAGCUAACCAUUUUCUAAAAUUAAACUUAAGAAAAAAAAAAAACACCCACAAACCUACACCAGGGAAACUAAUAUCUUAAUUGCUGGAACUGUUGCCAUUAUAAUUAACUCUAUCAUGUAAUUCCAUUCUUUCUUCAGUUUUAAAAUUCUCUAAAAGACAUUUUCUACUUAUGAUUUUUCAAAAAUAGUGUUUUAUGGUCCAGUAUUAAAAAUAGAAGAGUGGAUGUUAUAUCGGAUAUCAUAGCGUGGAGCUUCCAUGAGUAAAUUCACAAACAUCCCAGUGAUUCUUCCUCCUCUGCUCUUCUCCCCCCACUCCAAGAAGCACUGAGGGUGAAUAUGCAGCUUCAGAAGUUUCCUUAGAGCUCUUUUAUACUUUAAUAGGUUUGUUUUGGUGACUAUAUGCCAGACGAGUAUGCUGCAGACAUAUUUUUUUUCAAAAGGUCAAGCAGUCUUCUAACAUGUCCAUUGUGUAUCCUGCAGUAAGAAAUCCUCAGUGCAAAGGAGAGCUUCAUGGUUAAAUUUUAAAAGAUAAUGAUUUAAAUCUUUUUGUUAUAGCCUUUCUUCUUUCUUUCUUUCUUUUUUUUUAACAUCCUUAGCACUGCUUUUGGAGCGUCAACUUCUAACACUGUAGAAAGCAGGAAGCCCAUUAAAAAUAACAAACAGCUAAAGGUAAACUUAGUUGGUCACCUUUCCCUCUGAAAUCCUGGUGUUUGGCUGUGUUUGUAAGAAACGUGAUAACAAAUGAGUGGCCAUAGCCUAAUGUAAGGACAAAGCAAAAUUACCAAUUAUGGAGAAACAUCCAGGGCUCUGGGCCUGAAUCUUUGAUUUCCUGUUUGGAUCUUAAAAACACAUGCAUUACUGGCUUCUGACUGCUCAUCUAUGAACGUGCUGUAGAAUCAACUACAGAUAUUUUUUCAGACACUGAUAAAACGUAUACAUUCACUUGUCAGCAAAAAAAUAAUAAUUACAUCAUUCUGAUCUUCUCUCUAAAAAAAAAAAAAAAAAAAAGAGGAAAAAAAUAAACAAAAGAAACCUUCUUCCAGCAAAGUAAAGUUGCAGUAUAUUAAAAAACCAGUGCGUUUUCUCUUUCAUACAGGCAUGAAGUGGAAAAGAGCAGAGAUGUCUGCAAUAUUUAAGCACUCUUUGAGCUACAAGACUAAUCAAUGUAGCUCCUGCCACAUACUUGAGAACUGCAGUUUAUUAAUACAUGUGUUUUUGCUCUGUUAAACAAAUAGUCAUGCCACUCAAGUUCAGUUGUAAUGAAAAAAAAAGAAGAAAGAAAGAAUGUUCUUUAUGGAUAAAGGGAGAGGGAUAGCCAAAUUCAAAAUACUGGUGAGAUUUCCCUCAUCUCAAAAAUUAUGGAAAAAUAAAAAAAAGAAAUCUGCCUCUGUGUAGCUCUGGGUCAUUUGGAAGGAAAGAGGGAUGCUAAAAAUAUUAGUAAAUUAGUAUAGGAGAUGCUGAUGAAAACAUCUGGUCAACUGGUUGUAUUGACAUAAAUCGGAGUACUCUAUGAAUGUUUCAAGCGUGGAAAUAGAAUUAUCAUUGGUCACCAAUUUUAAAUAUAUAUAUAUAUAUAUAUAUAAAGGUAUUUCUUUCCUUCAGUGUUCCCGUUUUGAAUUUAUGCAGUAUACCUGAGUGUUCCCCUCUUUAAUUCAGUGCACGUGAAUUGUCUACAACAGCUUAACUUUAUAUAUCAGGUAUGCUUCAGAAACUGAAAAAAUCUCCAGCUGAUUUAGCAGCUGAGGCAUUACUCAUCAGAAUAUCUGAUUACUGGCAUAUUAAGCAGCAGACACAGUGGAACAGAAUAAACAUGAAGCACUGCAUCUACCAACACAUAUAUUUUAAUUACUACUAACCAAACAAAUAAAUACCAGACCGGCUUCAUAUUCAAAAUUUAGUGCGUGAUCAAGGGAAACAGAAAUCUACAAUAUUGGUCCUUGUAAAAAUGUUGUCAUUAACAAGAAUUUCUCAGCUCCCAAGUUUUCAUUUCAAAUCUCUCGGUGUGCCUGUUGUAAUCAUUCCGGGUCUCCUAUUCCUAAUUUAAAACAAUGGCAGUGGUGCUCAGCCGCCCCUGCAGGAAGGCUGGCCGCAAACGGGAGACAAUGGCAGCGGCAGAGGUGUGACACCUGCCGCCUUCUCUCCUCAUCAAACUUUGUCCACAAGAAACCACUGAUUCUCAGACUCGUAACCCUUUAAUUGUCAAUGCUCUAACUGGAGAGCUGUAUAGAGCUGUAGAAAGCUGUUUCUUAAAAGAUAGCUGCUAAAUGUUGCCUUUUUCUUUCGAUAGCUUUAGGCCGCGUUUCCUAAUUCUGAGUAAUUCACUCUAAUACGUAGUCAUAAACCAUAAGAUAAUAAAUUAUUAAGGCCUGAUUUUUUUUUAUUUUUUUAUUUUUUCUGUUCAGAUCAAUCUUUCUUAAUUACUGCGUGGUCUGAAAAUACGAGAAUAUCGGGGCUGGAGAUUCAUUUGAACAGAUCUCCAAACAGGCUGUGCAUGGGUUAGGGCUUUGCGUUUUCCUUAUGCGUCAGAAAAUUUCCUCUUCCCUUUCGGUCUGUAAGCACCGAGCAGCUGUAAGCACCUCUCGCUACCUGGGCGCUUGGCUAUCCUAAUGCAGCCUGGUAGCCCUAAGAACCCACCGGUCAAAAUCAAUGACUUGCAGACAAGAUUUUCCUUCCAGUCUGCAGAAUGGAAGUUGUAGCAUUUCUGCACUCCUGGCAAGGGAGCUCCGUCUGUCUCCGAUCAUGGUUCUCGAUCUCUUGCCCACGUGCAGUACGGGUAACGCCAUUCUCCAGGCGUAUGUACGGACACCAUGGAAGAAAGGGUUUGAGCGAUGGAGACAACGGCUGGAAACUCCACCGACACAACGCGACUACAGUAUGUUUUCCUUUCAUUGUCCUUUCAAUUCACAGUAAAUUUCAUUCCAGCUCUUAGAAAUCAUCAUUCUUCCCCCCUUUUUAUUUCAAAAUGGUUGCAGAUUUUUCAUUCACGAAAAGGUUAAAGGCGUCUCCCCAUCGCAGGAGGGAUUAUCUUACCAGAGGAUUCUGGGACUGCAGAUGUAUACUGCGGCAAAAUCCUAAAUUCAUCGGCAAAAAAAAAUCAUUUCCAGACCCCAGCUGCUAAAAAUAAUAGAAUUAUAGUAAAUCAUUGAUAAGAUUAAAACAUAAAGCCAUUUUUUGCGUUCCAAAGUGCUCUAAAACACAGGUCUUUUCUCUUAAUUUGUUUCUUAAAUAAUGCAAAUUUUAAAGUAGCUUUUCUAUCCAAAGCACGCAGCGCCAUGAAAUCGAUAAUUUUUGAUCUUUUGGUUAGUAGGCAACAUGGUGAGCUAUUGCAGUGACUGCAGGCAGCAGACAUGUUCUUGUCAGCUAAAAAUUUUCAUAUUGUUUUUGAGUCCAUUGAGAUUCGUGGAUGGGAUACAGCCAGUUAUAGCUCCAGCUUGCGCUUUGCUGAGGGGACGUAAACCAGCGCCGGUUUAGAUGCACGUAGAGAUAUAGAUAUAUGUUUUAAAAACAAGAAGCAUUACUGGAUUUUAAACAAAAAAUUAUGUAAAAAGAAUGGCUGGUGUGAUUAUAAUCGCAUCAUGCAGGGUCCACGGUUUCCAUUUAGUGAAAUUUCGCAGAGGGCAACUUCUUAAGAACAUCCCUGCUGUGCAGAGUGAAAAGCAUGAACAAACCAAAGACAGAAUUCAUCUGUGUUUAUAUUUUACAGACAAUGAAAAACCUACUCUUUGUAUGCCUUUUUUUCCACCUUAUUAUUUCACGAAAACUGCAGCAUUUUCCCCGCCCCCACCCGAACACUCACCACCCCAGCACUGCGGUGUUCGGUGUUUCUUUCUUUCUUUCUUUUUUUCCACCUCUUCUUCUUCUUUUUUGCUUUCACAAAUUCUGCACGCGCCAUCUUUGUCUAUUGUUACUCUUUUCUAAUUUCUGUUGCCCAUUCUCUUUCAAAUCAGCUAAUAAACGCAGAGCUAAAUGCCUGAUCAAUGCUUACGUUCUAUAUUCUCCCCAUCUUUCUUUUUAUUUUUUUUCCUGAGAAAUAAAAUUAAGAAAGAAACACCUCUCGCCCCAAAAUUUCUGUAUUACCAUAACCUGUUGUAUACAGUGGUGAUAAAAAACAUUAUUAACAUAAUAGCAACAGCUGCAGCCUAAAGAGAAGCUAUGAGAUAAUAAAUGUGCUACAACAAAUUAAUUUGCUGCAGGUGCUUGUGCUCUGAACUGCGUAACCCAAGCCAUUUCAAGUCUGAAUACAAUUAUUAUUCCCCCCACACACUAAAACAAAGUGCAGAGUGAAAUGUCCUGCGAUUAUAAACAUCUUGUCCUGUCCCCAGAACAUUUUCACCAUCAGCAAAGAGUGGGAGAAAGGAUUUUAAAGCCCUGGUAGCGAGCUGCGGCAUUUAAAAAUAUUUAAAGAGGUUUCCAGUCGUGUCCAAGCUGGAGGAGAUAAUGCAUGUCCAUACGUUAAUUUGCACCUAUUGUCUCUUACCCAGAGCCCCGUAGGUGAAGAUGGGUAGAGGUAUUACAUACAUGCAAUUGGCAAGGCAGGGGCUGUAAACACCUCAUUAGUAACAGAUGCAUAUUUGUAUGUGUUGGCACUGCCAUUUACUUCAGAGCACAGAAAAAAAAUACAUCUCUUUGCCAUUUGGCUUGUGCAAUGUGCAGUGAACUGAGCAGAGAUUUUUGCUGUUUUCUCUCGUAAACACAGUGCUUGUGGAGCCAGUUCCUAGUUGCCUCACCGGCAGACGCCCGUAGCAUCUUGCAGCAUUCUCCAGACUGCGAAGACAAGAAGUCAGGUGAAGCCCAGUGAGCUGUUCUCAUGUGCACGCUAACGUGGAUGAACUAGCAAGGUGCUUUCUCUCCUUCUCCUCUUUUCAGACCUAAUUGUCAGAAAUGUGGAGAAAAGGAGAAAAUUAAGGGCUCAACUGUGCUAAUUUUUCUGGUUUUUCAUUACCAGAAUACACACUGCUCAUUUUUCUUCUAUUUUUUUCCAUGUUUUAAAUAUUUUUUUUCAAAUGUAAUCAGAGAACACAUGUGUUUUAAAAGAUUGAUCAUUCUCACAGAGUAACCUUGAAAUGUUCUUUCUGUGAUCUUAAAGAAAAGAAAGAAAGAAAGAAAAAGAAAAAGGUACGGUACGUAGCCCAAGAGAACUAAUUGAAUUCCUUGCCCAGGACACAUUUGCUAUGUAUCCGAGUGGCUUUGCAGUGAUGGGAGCCCCAGGAGAAGCUUCCAUGCUCCAGCAAGGCAAGGUACAGAUGGUGCACUCAGCCCAGUGCUGCCAGUGUCCUUUUUGACUGUGCCGAGCUCGCAUGAGCCGUCCCGGGGAGGUCAGUGGGAUUACUCACCUGCAAGUGCAUAGUUGCUCAACUUAGAAUUUGCAUGUCUCAAAUCCCUUUUGCCUGAAGAAGAAAACAUAUAAUCCACUAAAGAAAGAUGGUUAUGCAGCACUAGUGAAAAUUGUUUUGUUUUUGUUGCUACUUCUGUAUCACGCUCUUGUUUUGUUUCUGUGGCUUCACUCACAUCUGCUCCCAAGAUCUGAUUUUUACGCUGUUAGUUGAGCUAAGCUUCCAUCCAUGUCCACAGCUAUUUUCUCAGAGUAACAACUGGGACAUGAAUUCCUAAAUUUGAGGCAUUCAUCUCCAUAAUGCUUAUGGUAAUGUGUCUCCUAGUCAUCAUCCAAAUGAGUAAAUAGUAUAGCAUUUCUGCAUAUGAAGCACGGGGUGGGAAAAUGUGCUUUCGCAAACUCCUGUGCCUGUAUUUGCACAGCCCAGUAUUACCUUUCUCCUGAAGUAAGGCUGAUGCCACGAACGAGUAGUUCUGUAUGCUAAGCUCCCCCCCUAAAGAGAUGUGGUGUGCCAUUAUUUCACUGUCGUGCCAUUUCCCUUCUCACAGGGUCACCAUAUUUUGCUGACAGGCGACUUCGGUAGGGGAAUUUGACCCAAACCCAAUGGCACAACCUGGCUAAAGGAAUAAAAGGUGAAUGCCAUUACUCAGAAGUAGCCCUAGAGGAGAACUGUUUUGGUCAAUGUCUCGAUUUGUUCAUCCAACUGGAUCCUGCUUCUGGAGGACCUCAGCACCCACCGUACUCAGGUUAUUGGGACCAUAUCAUACGGAACAGGAAGUUAUAAAUCAAAGCUGGGGAGCUGCGGCAGGACUGAGGGGAAGGUUUGGGUGUAUUUAGGUAGCCAGUGGAACGCUCCGUACAGUCUGUCUACCAAGAACUAUGGCUUGCUUGGUAUUCUGGAGGGAAACAGAGAGGAACAACAGCUGACCAAAGCCUUGAUAAGAGGGCCAGGAGGAUGGGCAGCACCGCCUGCUUCUGCCCUAGCCCAGUACAGGCAAAAAGCAGCUUGAGAACAGGGACUUUACACAGGAAGACAUUACAUGGAGGGAAUUAUGUACAGCUUCAUUAUGAAAAACAUGCAAAUCAUUUUAGACAUAUUAUACCUCCUGAUUAAUGUAAUAGGGGAAAAAUGGAAACAAGCUAUUCACUUUUCCAUUAUAAAACAUUCUGACAAAAAAGAAAAAAAGAAAAAGAAGAGAAAAUUUCAGCCAUCUCAGGAGAAAAGCAGGUAGUUAAGUGUACACCAGCAUGUGCAAUGCAGGCGAUGCAACUGGCUACUUUUUAUUGCUGUAUGACUAAGCAAAGACUUUUUUUUUUUUAAUUUGGGCUACUGUGACUCAAGGUUAAGUUUUAAUGUGAAUAUUAAAUGUGGGCCUCGUCCUGCCGGGUUCUGAGCACCUGGCUGAGAAGGCGUUUGCUGAGAGUUAAAGAUGCCCAGUGGAGCUCCCCGCAUCAAAAUAAAUAAUCAAAAAACAACAAACAGCCACAACAACCAAACAGAGCAAAACGAUAGGCAACAAAAUAAACAACCAGAAAAUCUCCAGACAGACAAACAAACAAAAAGCAAAGGCCGAGCCUGUUCGCACGUUAUUAUGCAUAGUAAUAUCUGCCCUGCUGCAUGACUGUAAGCGACACUUCUUAUUGAAUUUCCCUCAUCACAGUUUCUGCAUACUGUGCUUACGCAGGCUGUGUUUCUCUAAGUGCAUUCUUUAGCCCUGGAAACAUAACAUUAACGCAUGAGUCUGAAGCACUCGCCUGGGCUGUGCUUAUCCACAGACUCACCUGUUCAUUUGUGUGGGUUUUACAAUAAUGUUUUGCUAUUGUUUUGUGUCAAUAUUUGCUGCUGUGCUGGCUCUGCCUUUUUCCUUCCACCCACCUUUCUCCUCACGCGUGCUGACAGAUAAGUGUGGUUUGACUGAAACCAUUCCAAGGGCUAGAUAUUGCUGUCUACAGCAACAUCACGCGGUGCAGUUUGUCAGGAAGCAGUUGUGGGACUGGUGGGAAGGCAGCAUGCACACACUGGUACAUGUCACCCCACUGUCCCUGCAACUGCCCAGCAAAGCACUGUGCCACGUCUCAUUGUAUGGGAGUUGCAUGGCUAGAGGCUUGGGGUUGGGAUGUGGAUUCACAGUUUCCAAGCUCUUCUGCCUUUCUGCAGGGUUAGGCAAGACAAACUCUCCUUGUACCUCAAGCGUACAGGGAUGGCUUGCAAAGUUUCUUUAGGCAAAGGGCAGAAUUCUUGGCACCCAGGCCUCUAGAAACACAAGUGGGCAUAGGCCAGUGCCAACUUUGCCCUCUAGAAACACAAGUGGGGAAAGGUCACUGCCAACUUUGCCAGCAGAUGUAUUUAUCCCUGCGUGUGUGAAGUGCUAUGGGGCAGGGAUGAAGCCACUAUUGUAUGUUGGGAAGCACCAGGGGUAGAUUGCAGCGAGCUCCUUCUCAGAAGUCAUUUCUUUUAUCCUCCCAGUAUCAAUGUGUUUGCCAUCACCAUUCUCAACCGCCAGGCUCCUGCUCCCAUUUAGAGGCUGUGCAACAUUUCAAAUUACUAUUUUUUUGAAGGUGGUCUGUGUGGCUUCACACACCAAGGACAUGGCGAGGCCCAGCAUGGCACGCAGUAGGAAAGCCUCGCACACAGCCACACUUGAUCUGCAAGGAGGAGGAAGGAGCUGGUCAGGAGGUCUGUCGGGGGAGGCAUCUGCAGAGUGAAUGGGGAAAAAAAAAGCAGCAGGAGCAGGGGGGGAUGUCAGCUGCCAGCACCAUCUCCUUUGAAGAUCCCCACAACCGGAGGGAGGAUCAGGUUGCCAGCAGACUCUCCCUUCCUAAAACAUCCUGCCCCUAAAUAAGGAGAGCGGAGCACAGAUUGCCAGGGGCCUGUUUGAUUCGCCCCCUCACCCUGCGAGUCUGCUGUUUGGCCACCACCACCACGGAGAGCCCUGCCACAGAGCCAUCAUCCCCAGCACGGCUCUGUUGCAACAGGACUGAGGGGCGCAUGCCCUGUCCAGCUUCCCAACCCCUUGCGUUUGCCAGCUGCAUUUGGGCUGCAAGCCAUUUUUUGUGGCACCUGUUAUUUUUAUUUGCUUUCAGACUCCUUUGUUUCUAACACACUGUCACCUCUGGGUAACUAAUAGUUUUCACCUGUGUUUGUUCCUUUGUAGCUGCGUUAUGCUGUAGAAAUCGCAGGGUCUUCUCUAUGCAGGUGAAAAUGGGUGAGAAGGAGUACAACUGUUGGAUUUGUGGCAGGAAUUUUCAAACGAAUGAAAGCGUAAGGAUGAAAACAGAAGAAAAGUGUUCAGCAUGGACACAGUUAAAUGUGAGUUUCACACUUCUGAAAAGUACAGACGAUUCAAGUCUAUUCAUUAUUUGAAAUUCAUAUCUGCUCCUGUGCAAGAAAUGUAAAAACCGAUGCUGACUUUUAGGAAUGUCCCCCAAGACCUUUAUACACCUACAUUCUGUUGCUCUUCCUUUCAUCCUCUUGUCAGUCAAUACUUAACCCUUUUGGAGGCUGACCUUUUGGUAGCGUGAGGGCUCACUAUAGAACUGAUUGGAUAGUUGAAAGGAUAUUCUUGCAUAUUUUUGCGAAUCAAAGCAUCACGCUUGGUUUACUGUGAUUUGUAUGUUACAUUAUGACAAGUACACAGGAGCUUAUUCAUUGAGGCACUCUCUCUCGAAAGCUUCCCUAAUUUGUCUCACAAGCCUGUAUUUAUUUGAAAACUCAUCCCAUAGAUUUUUUUUUAUUUCUUAUUACUUCCUGAUGGUUCAUCAGAUAUUUAAAAAAGCAUCUCAUACCCAAUCAGCAAGUGCUAACAGCUUCCAAGUGAUGUGUGUGCUCAUUGAGACCCUCCAAAUAGCUGGAGCAAGCAGUCUGAAAAAGAAUAGAUUUGUCUGGUUAUAUAAUUAUAAUAUAUGUAAUUAAAAAAAAAUCCUUUAGUCCACUUGGUGUAAAAUAAUGUCAGAACACAAAAAUUCAACCAUCUCUACACAUCUAAAACAUUUCUAAACACGUACCCCCCCUCAGAUUCAUAGUAAUAUUCUUGACUGUCAUCUAGUUCCAGGAGCAUAAGGAAACUGUUACAGAAAAGGUGACAAUAAUACAUCUUGUUGGAAAGGAGAACCAAAAUGAAGCAGCUGUACAUCAGAGAGAAAAUCUGAACUAAGAGACUGAUAACAAGUAUGCCGAGUAUUUUUUCUUGCUUACGGGUGAAAAAGCCAGCAAAGUCUCUGUUUGAAGACAAAGCACAUAAUAAUAUGAUCAUAAAAAUCUCCUAAUGGGGACUGUGUGAUGCACGGUAAAUGUAUUCCUUUCAGUACGUUAUUCCCUCAACAUGCAGGCUUUCAAGGUACCCUCAAACCGUACUGUGGAUAUGAUAGCAUCAGCACAGCUAGAUGUGAGCAGAGCUGGACCUCCUUUUUCCUUAUUAUUGCUAUUAUUUGUGCUCUUAUCAUUUCAUACUGAUCUCACGGCAACUCCUGGGAGGUUCAGACAGAAAAGUCACCCCAUUUUUCAAGAGGUGGUUUGCAGACAUUGCUAAGGCACCAUCUGUGCCCAGAGAAAAGCUGCAAUUGAUGGAAAUGAAGUGACAUUCAGAGGGUGGAGAGAGGAAUACAGCAAUUAUAGGUGGGGCUGGUAGUAUUACCUGUUAUUAAGGGCUUGCCUGACACUUCCCAUUUUAAGGCCUGCUCCUCGUGGUUUUUAAGUACUUAGUAAACUUUAAGCAUUUGUCUUUACCUAGACUUCUACCCUUGGCUGCUUCUGCUGCUCAGGUGUUAUUAACAGAAUUUAUUUCAUUUGGACGUCGUGGCAGGACUGGAGCUGGAGGAAGGAGCAGCAGCUUUAAAAACAUACAAAUAAAUGUUAUCCUUUUACCUUUCAGUAUAUUUUUUUUGUUUUGCUUUGCCAUAAGAACUCAAACAUUGUAAUCUCACCUUGUUUUCUUAUAUUCCUCCAGCUACCUGUCUGCACCCAUCUGUGAUCUCUUUUCUUAGAUUUGAGCCUGUCUUUCUGAUCUGCAUUUGUGCACUGCUUUAUACAGCUGGGUGCUGGUCCGUGACUGCUGCACCUAUGAGCUGCAGCCACGCAAACAAAUACUCUGGGUCUGCACAGGGCAAUUGUUUUGGAGAAGUAAAUAAAUAUUUCCUAUCCAGAAAUCCUUCACGGUCCCUUCCUGAUUGAUUGUGACUCCCAAAUGCUUUGGAUAGAAUUGCCUACCUUUCCCCUCACACUUAAAGUGCUGGAAGUGUUUCGUAUUCAAAUAUGAGUGGCUUUUCUUGUCAACAACAGCUCCUUUUAGAAAACACUGCUGCUAAAAAUAAAAAGACUGCUUUUCAGGCUCUGUUUAAACACAGUGCUAUUCAGGGAUCAAGCUGAGCAAAAGCUUAUUCCCUCUACCCAUGUGUUUUGAAACAGCACACAGAGGAAGGGAACGAGCCACUGAGUUUAUGUUUCAACUGGAAAUGCAAAAGAGAGAGCCAGAUUCAUUAAGACUGUUACACUAAGUCAAUAUGACCUUUCCCUUUGUAUUUUGCUUCCUUCGAUUGACUUGAAAUUGGACUAGGCGGUGAGCACUGUGCUCCAGACCUUUGAGUUUUUUCAGCAAAGGUCAUUGUUUUCAGCCAGAAGGGUGGUCAUGACUUCAGAAGUGAGUUCUGUGCUCCCCCACAAAGCCUCACAGGCCAUUUCACUCACCUCCUUUACAGCCAGUAUUUUUCACCCUCAUUUAACUACAGCUGGCAAAAUCUUACAUAAUUUGGCCUUUUAGAAUAAAUGCAAAAAUCACUGUUACAGCAGCAGGUUGCUAACAUUGCGCUUUCCACACCUUAAGCCUGAUCCUGCAAAGUAAGGAAUGUUUUGGGUCCUUUUGCUUCAGUUUUUAUUUUGAGUAUUUUUGUCUCCCAGCAAAGUGAACAGCCUUGGCAUUUGCGGCAUCUGAUCCUACAUUUAACCAAGUCAGUAACAAAAUGGUCGAAGGUCGAAAUGUUUGAAGUUACUCCUAUUGGGACUGAAGAUGGUUUCCUAAAUGCAGACUUGUGUUCUCUCCUUGUAACCUGGUUGAGGUCCAUGUAAUCUAUGGCACACUUUCUACAGCGUAAUCACAUGGAAAAGUCCUUGGCCAAAAAAAGUAAGCAAACAACACCAGAUCUCAGCAAACCACAAGCGUGCUUCAACAUCUGAGUGUGGGCAGACUCAGGACCUGAAGACUGUGCCAUGCAUCAACAUGGCACUAAACUAAAAACAAAUAAACUAAACUAACAACAAAUAAACAAACAACACUCUUUCCUCCCCCAAACUCUAGCAAAUCUGAUUUGAACUAAGAUCUCUAUGUUGCUGCACUUAAUUUAUUCUUUCCUUCCUGAGUGGCCUCUACUAGCUUUCAAAGACAUAAUAAAACACCUGCCCCUACCCUUCUGCCCCUAUCUCUUAAAAGCAGCCCACAAUCCUUGCUCACAGGUCUACCAGCUGAAAAGGCAAAAUUGACAUUUUUUUUCCCCUUUAGAAACAUGCUCUUAACACACACGCACAGGACUGCUGCGGGGGUCAAUGAGAGUAUAUAAUGCAGAGACUGAGAAGCGAAUGCAACCCUGUCUUCCUGGUUUUCCUGGAGAUAAUGGGAUAUGACUUUUAAAUGGAAGAUAUAGCUUUCAAAAUGGUUCAACAUAAUAUAAGAGAUAAAACAACUGAGGAACCAAAAAAGCAAAUAGUGUCUCUGACUUAAAAGGAAAACAACUAUCAGUGUCCCCAGUGAUUCUCUAAUUUGGAGAUAUCUGAACAAGACAGGUCUUAAAAGAAAAAACAGCUCUACACCGAACACCAUCACUUCAGAGCGGUGAAUUUCAGCUGGUGCAGAGCAAGAAGGGUGCAGAUAAAUGCUACCCGAUGUAAAGCUUCACAGCCCAGUGUUAACCCAUAAGCAUUUCUUCAGCUAAUAUGAAGAGGAUGGAUGAACUGAGGCUGAAGCGCUCUGCUUCACGUGGCUGUGGCCACUAUGGUCCCACAUUAUCAACCCCAAUGGGAGGAACUGGCUGACAUUGGGGAAGUUCUGAUUGCAAAAGAAGGCUGACGUAUGCCCAGCCCUGAAUGGUGCUCUGGCCACGUUGGCUGCUGCCUGGUUCCCACAGUGCAAACUGAACAAUGCCCCAAGCUGCUGUGCCUUGGAAAAGGUCCUGAGGACCCAAGCCAGGCUGGUGACAAAUAUUCACCAGUCCCCAGAGUCAUUACCGGUCCUGCUUCAUCUCCAAAACUAAAAUGUGGGCCUCUUUGUUUUUAAGGUUUUUUUGGGGUGGAGGAAGGAGAUUAUUUUCUAAAGAUCUCUGAAAAGCCCUCAGCACGUGCCAGAAAUAGGUAUGAUCUCUGCAUCUCAUUGCCAGCUCUCCUGAUUUCACUGACAGCAUUCAGUGCUGUUUGUUUAGUGUUCCCCUCUCCCAGCCUUUUUAUAAAGGAAAGAUGGCUAGAUCUUUUGGUGGUGGAAAUACCUGGAAGCCAUCACUUUAACACAGCCCAAAGGCUCAGAUUACAGCAAACAAACAGAAGAAAGACAAGUGUAUUUAUUCAGGCUUUUUAAUCUUAGGAAUUUAAAGCAAAUUUGCUGACCAUUGGAAACCUCAGCCCUGAUCUGCGAAGGCUCAGGGCUGCCAAUACUAUUAGCAUACAUGCUGAAGAGUUUCAGCUGAUAAAGUUGAGUGGUGUGCUAUCUGGUCUGCUCUCUCAAGGGAAAGUCAGGCUGGGGAGAUGAGGUUUGACUUCAUUUACUCCAUGUGACCUUAGACUGCUGCUUAAAACAGUCUGCUCUUUGUUUCUCCAACUGUCAAAUGAAGAUAAUGAUUCUUACCCAUUCUUAGGACUGUGCUUUGAAAUUUAUAAAUGAAAAUAUUAUUUAUAUUCAAGAGGCUCCCAGACAGGGAAAAUGAAUGAUUUCCAUAAAUGCAAUAUAUUUCUUCCAGUCUGGAUCGUCAUACCUAGUUUCUGGCACUCACACAAACUAAGGAUGGGUGUGAGAGGCAAAUACUUCUAAACAUUUUAUAUACAUAUAUUUAUAUUUUAUAGUCUCUCUCUACAGCAGUUAUCUGUGUGUAAUUUUCUGCAUAUACAUAUAUAUGUGUUUGUGUGCAUGCAUGUGUAAUAAAGACAUGGAAAACCACUUGAGGUGAAUGUGAACCUUUCCUGUCUCACAUUUAAGGGGCUGACUGCCUUUGCAACAGUCUCAAAGAACAAAGCUAGUAAAUAUCUCUUGUCACUUUAAAAGGUGAAAAACUCUACUGGUCUGUUGCCUAGCGAAAUUUAUACAUUAAAACAUUACCAGUUAAAGUUGUGAUGUAAUGUUUGUUGCAGGAUGAUUUCAUGCCAAAGCAUUUACCUUAGUGCAAUAUUAAACUGCAUGAUUUUGGUUUCUAUCCAAAAAGUAAUGGAGUUUCCCAGGGAGAAGGGUGUAUCAGAUGCCCAGGGAGCUCCAGGGACAAGCCCUCUCUCAAGAAUAACCAAUUGCACCAGACAGUGUGACACUGGACUCUCUAUGAAAGAGUCUGAUAUCCCAGAUGACCAGAGAUCACUCUGUGGGGACCACCACAAGAGCAACAGGAGAAACAGAUGGAAGGACACAAGCUCAAACCUCAGA